AUCGCUUCUCGGCCUUUUGGCUAAGAUCAAGUGUAGAGAUGUGGGUGGUUAAAUUAUCAAUUUAGAAACAAAGUUCUGAGCACUUGGGAGAAAUGUGAAGACCAUCUUUUUCCAAUGCCCCACCCAGUGUAGGAUUCACCCUUCACAAAUCUCUGUAUAUAGUCAUCCAGUCUUUGCUUGUAUAAUGGGGAACCUCC
ensembl:snRNA U2 U2 spliceosomal RNA